AGCGAGGGCACAGUGUAUGGAUGUGAAUGCAAGGAGUUACAGGUGGUCUGAGUCCCGCAGCAAAGUGUGCCGGAUGUGUGACAUGGGAGAGGAUGAGACGGUGCAACAUGUGGUGGUGGAAUGUGUGAAGUAUGCCAGAGACAGGAAUGAGAUGAUGCAAGUGAUACUGACUGAGUUAGGGCAUGAUAGGAAUGAAAGAGUGGAGAAGACAGGAAAGGAGUGGAUGGUGUUGCUGGGACUGUGUAGAGACGAAUGAAAGGAUGACUGAGGCGGUGAAACAGUUUCUGGAGAGAAUGUGGCGUGCCAGAUGUACGAACAGUUACUGUAGAUGAUGCUGUUUGUUAUUUUUUUUUUUUCCCCUUCUACAGGAGUUGCCGAUCCAAAGGCCUGGCUUAAGAGUGAUCCCGAGCUACCUGUACCAUCAAGAUCAAGAUCGAGCGUCCAUAUCAGAUGGUGAGUCUGCGUACAAAAUUGCAUCGGAGGGGUUGAUAGAGGCAGCCACAAUUAUCCAUCAUCAUCGGCGACACCAUGGCUCUUGAGAAGACAGACAGACCUCGAUGACAGCGUGGUGAGCGAGGAGGGGGAGUCAACCAGCAGAGUGGGGGAGCAUGACCCCUACUUUGAACCAGUGGUGACCUUGCUGGAGGUCUUCGUGGUUAGUGAUGAUGACCAGGAGGAGGAAAUGAUAAGACUGAGUUUCGAGGUCAGGUCAGGCAGUACAAGCUGUUUCUUUAUCACACCUCUGAGUCGCCCCCACAGUGGAAGGAACGGGGCAUGGGGGCCAUUAACAUUCUGAGGAACAAGCAGAAGAAGGCUGUGGAGUUUGUUCAGCAGCAGAAUUAAUGCCAGUGGUUGAGUUCAGAUCCUCCAAGACACACAGACACACACACAGCAGCCCCUCCACUUCCCCACAGCCCUCCACAGCCCCUGACACAGUAUCUGACACAGGCCCUUCACAGACCACCACAUACCUCACACAUACAUAAGAACAUAAGAACAUAAGAAAUAAGGGAAGCUGCAAGAAGCGACCAGGCUUACACAUGGCAGUCCCUGUAUGAAAUAUACCUACCUAUUUCCAUCUGUUAUCCCCAUCCAUAAACUUGUCUAAUCUUCUCUUAAAGCUCUCUAGUGUCCUAGCACUAACUACAUGAUUACUGAGUCCGUUCCACUCAUCUACCACUUUUUUUGAGAACAAAUUUUUUCCUAUCUCCAUCCUAAACCCAAAUUUUUCAAGCUUGUACCCAUUAUUUCUUGUUCUACCCUGGUUGCUGAUCCUAAGAAUUUUGCCUACAUCCCCCUUGUUAUAACCUUUAUACCACUCAAAGACUUCUAUCAGGUCCCCUCUUAACCUACGUAUCUCUAAAGAAUGUAAAUUUAACAGCUUCAACCUCGCCUCGUAAGGAAUACUCCUCAUCCCCUGUAUCCUUUUAGUCAUUCUCCUCUGUACUGAUUCUAAUAGACCUAUAUCUUUCCUGUAAUGUGGGGACCAGAACUGCACAGCGUAGUCUAGAUGAGGUCUGACCAGCGCCAAGUAUAACUUCAAUACUACUUCCGGCCUUCUACUUUUAACACUCCUAAAAAUCACACACCACAGGAGCCUCACAAACAGUCUGACAGCCUUCACAAGCAGCCCCACACUCCACCACAGACACACCAGACCCACAGCCCUUCACCUCACCCACUUCCCAGCCCCCCACAGCCCUCCAGCCACCACAAAUGAAGUGAAAGGAAGGGACUGUGGCUUCACCCAGCCAGCCAGGACAGCCUACAGAGAGGGGGUAGUCCCAGUCAAGUCACAAAAUAUAGGCUUGGUUCUUCCUACAGUUUGAAGUCAAUGAUUGGACAGCCCCACAGUUACUGACCUUGACUCAAACACCAUCACGCCACUCUCUUCCCUGUUAAACUUGCCGGGAUCCAUUGUAAUGUAAGGGGUAUUGAAUGUGAGCGAUGAAACGAGAAGGUAGUGGCAAGGGGGAAAAAAGUACAGGGGAGCGCAGGAGAGACACCUCUCUCCACUGUGCCUGACAGUCUCUCAGUGAUUGAAAGACUGAGCAUAACAUCUUCAGGGCACGUGGUAACACGGAGAGGAACUGGAAGAAACCUUGGGACGCUCCCAUAACUCAGGAGCAGGAAGUACACCUUACUGGAAACCUUGUGACUGACAGGUGGCGGUGACUGCAGGAACCAAUUCAGAUGUCUGUCUUGUGUUGGCGAACGUCCUGUCUGCAGUGCCAGUAGUGCCAUGUCGCAGGGUGUGACAUCAGGUGAAGAGCCAAAUGGAGAGUGUCUGCAGCCAGUACUGGGUGUGCUGAUGCUGUACACAAGUGUCGAGCCAGGUGCCACAGCACAUGACUCCACCAGUGUAGUGUCUCUAGUCCAGGAUGCACUGCUGUGUACGACUUGUAUGUCUUUAUAUAUUUGUGACUAUUCUUAUUAUAUUUGUGAAAUAAGACUUGUAUGUCUUUGCUAAUAAAUAAAUAUUUGUGACUAUUCAUUCUUAUUAUAUAUGUGAAAUAAAUAUAUAGUUAGCUAACAGUGUGGUAUAAUAGUGUAAAAAUAAAUAUUUGAUAAUUCAUGCAUGCCCCAAAGGUAAAAAAAAAAAAAAAAAAAAAAAAAACAGGAUUGUGCCCUCUAAACUUUUAAGAUACCACUUGCACAUAGAAGCCCCGUCCCAGCGACUCCAGUGUCGGCUGGGAUGGGGCUUCUAUGUGCAAAUGGUAUCUUAAACUUAGUUUAGUAGCCAAUCCUGGCUUUUUUUUUUUUUUUUUUUUUUUUUUUUUUUUUUGGCCUUGAGGGCAUGACCUGUACUCCCAGAAAGACUAUUUGCCAAAGAUAUUAUUGACAUGGCAUAAAUAACUAUCAUUAUGUUCAAGAUGGUAUACUGAAUGUUUAUUGUUUUAAUGUGGAUGUUAAGUGAAUAAAUACACAACAAUAAUAUAAACAUGGCACUUUUUUUCCUUAUUACUGAAGUGCUGGAAUGUACAAAACUUAUCCCAAGCCUGAAUGAAGGUGGUGGUGGUGGUUGUUGAAUACAGAAGAGAGGGACUUGCUACAUUCUUCCUUCCCAGACUGGAGUGGACUGGAGAACUCUUGCAGCAGGGCCUGGGAGCAACAACACUUGCCAAUUCUUAUGUCCUUGCAUCAACUUGAGUGAGGAGCAACCUCUUCUUUGUGAAACUGCCUGCAGCUCUCGUGCCUCCACAAGUGUUGAAAGUUGCCUGUCGGUCCCGCCAUGACUUGAAGGGAAUUUUACGUGUUCUUCCUGCUUGAAAUUCUUGACACACUCUUCUUACUGCAACUUGACUCUUCCCUGAUUGCUUUGUC